rnacentral:piRNA from 1 species
UAAAAGGAAACAUUUAAUUGGGUCUUCAUU